rfam:Gossypium hirsutum cultivar TM-1 chromosome 14, whole genome shotgun sequence
AGUUAAAAUUUUCAUCCACUGUUAAAAACUGACCUGGCUGACUGUAUAACCAAGCAGUUACGCAUAGCAUGCCACUGUACCUCAUGUCAACAUACAGGGACUUGUUUUUAACAGUAGAAAUGGAUAAUUUUUUUAACA